rnacentral:rRNA from 1 species
AUUGAACGCUGGCGGCAUGCCUUACACAUGCAAGUCGAACGGCAGCACGGGGGCAACCCUGGUGGCGAGUGGCGAACGGGUGAGUAAUGCAUCGGAACGUGCCCCGUAACGGGGGAUAACCAGUCGAAAGACUGGCUAAUACCGCAUACGCUCCACGGAGGAAAGCAGGGGAUCGCAAGACCUUGCACUAUGGGAGCGGCCGAUGCCCGAUUAGCUAGUUGGUGAGGAAAGGCUCACCAAGGCGACGAUCGGUAGCUGGUUUGAGAGAACGACCAGCCACACUGGGACUGAGACACGGCCCAGACUCCUACGGGAGGCAGCAGUGGGGAAUUUUGGACAAUGGGCGCAAGCCUGAUCCAGCCAUGCCGCGUGCGGGAUGAA